rnacentral:rRNA from 1 species
AGUGAACGCUGGCGGUAGGCCUAACACAUGCAAGUCGAACGGCAGCACAGUAAGAGCUUGCUCUUACGGGUGGCGAGUGGCGGACGGGUGAGGAAUACAUCGGAAUCUACUUUUUCGUGGGGGAUAACGUAGGGAAACUUACGCUAAUACCGCAUACGACCUACGGGUGAAAGCAGGGGAUCUUCGGACCUUGCGCGAUUGAAUGAGCCGAUGUCGGAUUAGCUAGUUGGCGGGGUAAAGGCCCACCAAGGCGACGAUCCGUAGCUGGUCUGAGAGGAUGAACAGGCACAAUGGAAGUGAGACACGGUACAGUCGCCGCAGGCCGGCACCAGUGGGGUCUAGUGGGGAAGGGGGGCAUGCUGGUGCUAUACAUAUUUCGUGGGAAAAGAAGGCAUCCGGGUUGUAAAGCCCUUUUUCUGGGAAAGAAAAGCAGAACGCUACUACCUAGCUCGGCUGAAGGGACCCAAAGAAUAAGCACCGGAUCACUCCGUG